rnacentral:rRNA from 1 species
GAUGAACGCUGGCGGCGUGCCUAAUACAUGCAAGUCGAGCGAACGGACGAGAAGCUUGCUUCUCUGAUGUUAGCGGCGGACGGGUGAGUAACACGUGGAUAACCUACCUAUAAGACUGGGAUAACUUCGGGAAACCGGAGCUAAUACCGGAUAAUAUUUUGAACCGCAUGGUUCAAAAGUGAAAGACGGUCUUGCUGUCACUUAUAGAUGGAUCCGCGCUGCAUUAGCUAGUUGGUAGGGUAACGGCUUACCAAGGCAACGAUGCAUAGCCGACCUGAGAGGGUGAUCGGCCACACUGGAACUGAGACACGGUCCAGACUCCUACGGGAGGCAGCAGUAGGGAAUCUUCCGCAAUGGGCGAAAGCCUGACGGAGCAACGCCGCGUGAGUGAUGAAGGUCUUCGGAUCGUAAAACUCUGUUAUUAGGGAAGAACAUAUGUGUAAGUAACUGUGCACAUCUUGACGGUACCUAAUCAGAAAGCCACGGCUAGCUACGUG